AGGGUUUGAUCCUGGCUCAGAAUGAACGUUGGCGGCGUGGAUUAGGCAUGCAAGUCGAACGAUUCUGUAGCAAUACAGAAGAGUGGCGAAAGGGGCAGUAAGGCAUGAGUAACUUACCUUCGGGUUGGGUAUAGCCGUUCUAACGAACGGGUAAUCCCCAGCGUCGUAUCGAGGUGGCAUCACUUUGCUACGAAAGAUUCAUCGCCCGAUGAGAGGCUCAUGUAGUAUUAGCUAGUUGGUGAGGUAACGGCUCACCAAGGCAAAGAUGCUUAGCGGGUGUGAGAGCACGACCCGCGCCACUGGCACUGAGACACUAGCCAGACACCUACGGGUGGCUGCAGUCGAGGAUCUUCGGCAAUGGGCGAAAGCCUGACCGAGCGACGCCGCGUGAGCGAUGAAGGCCUUCGGGUUGUAAAGCUCGAAAGUGGGGAGAAAAGGCAACUUGAUCUAUCCACAGUAAGCACGGGCUAAGUUCGUGCCAGCAGCCGCGGUAAGACGAACCGUGCGAACGUUAUUCGGAAUCACUGGGCUUAAAGGGCGCGUAGGCGGGUUGUCAAGUCUGUGGUGAAAUCCUCUCGCUCAACGAGAGAACUGCCCUGGAUACUGACAAUCUUGAGGAAGAUAGGGGUGUGUGGAACGGGUGGUGGAGCGGUGAAAUGCGUUGAUAUCAUCCGGAACUCCGGUGGCGAAGGCGACACACUAGGUCUUUUCUGACGCUGAGGCGCGAAAGCUAGGGGAGCAAACGGGAUUAGAUACCCCGGUAGUCCUAGCCCUAAACGAUGGGUACUAGAUAGUGGACUUGACAUGGGAUCACUGUCGAAGCAAAAGUGCUAAGUACCCCGCCUGGGGAGUAUGGUCGCAAGGCUGAAACUCAAAGGAAUUGACGGGGGCUCACACAAGCGGUGGAGCAUGUGGCUUAAUUCGAGGCUACGCGAAGAACCUUACCUGGGUUUGACAUGGAUUGGACCGGGGUAGAAAUAUCCCUUCGACCCCGCAAGGGGAAGCCGGUUCACAGGUGCUGCAUGGCUGUCGUCAGCUCGUGUCGUGAGAUGUCGGGUUAAGUCCCAUAACGAGCGAAACCCUUACUCUUAGUUGCCAACGCGUCAUGGCGGGGACUCUAGGAGGACUGCCGGUGUCAAACCGGAGGAAGGCGGGGAUGACGUCAAGUCCUCAUGGCCCUUACACCCAGGGUUGCACACGUGCUACAAUGGCAAGAACAAAGGGAAGCGAAACCGCGAGGUCAAGCCAAUCUCAAAAAACUUGCCCCAGUUCAGAUUGCAGGCUGCAACUCGCCUGCAUGAAGUUGGAAUCGCUAGUAAUCGCGGGUCAGCAACACCGCGGUGAAUGUGUUCCUGAGCCUUGUACACACCGCCCGUCAAGCCACGAAAGGGAGGGGUACCCGAAGUCGCGUCAGCGCCGAAGGUAAACUUCCUGAUUGGGACUAAGUCGUAACAAGGUAACCGUAGGGGAACCUGCGGUUGGAUCACCU
rnacentral:rRNA from 1 species